UUGUGGAGGUCGAGCAUUAAGGUUGUAGGCUAGGGGGAAGGUGUGAGUAUUUCUACAUCGCACUAAAGUGAGAAUAGCCAGUUAGGAGUUAGUCUUAGGAUGCUACUGAUCAAUUACUGAUGUAGGGCUUUAUCUGCUGGAUAUUAUUAUAUCUUCCAUCUUUUUCGUACUUCCUAUAUUUCUUAUACUGUUGUUAUUUUUAUUUUAUGUUAUGGUAUGUUAUUUUAUUUUAUUUUAUGUUAUUUUAUUAUGAAUCUAUGGAUAGUAUUAAUAGUCUCUUGUCACUUUCUUGAGCCAAGGGUCUCCUGGAAACAACCUUUCUGCCCCUCGGGGUAGGGGUAAGGUCUGCGUACCUAUUACCCUCCCCAGACCCCACUAGUAGGAUUAUACUGGGUUGUUGUUGUUGUUGUUGUUGUUGUUGUUGUUGUAUCAUAAGUGAACAUCAAGAAAAUCGAGCAAAUGGUAAAAAGGGUAAUGGUGAGUCUGGAGAAGAAAAUCUGGUCGAUAUUCUACUGAGGGUCAUGGAGAGUGUGGAAUUUGGAAUGCCAAUCACCAAUCAGAAUAUCAAAGCAGUUAUUUUUGAUAUGUUCAUGGCAGGAGCGGAAACAUCAUCCACAACACUUAUUUGGGUAAUGGCAGAAUUGAUAAGAAAUCCAAGCGUCAUGGCUAAAGCACAACGUGAAGUUAGAGGAUCGGAGUCCUAAAGGCAAAGAAAACAUACGAGGAUAAAGUAUAUAGAAUUAGUGAUAAAAGAAACAUUAAGGCUACACGCUCCAGUUCCUCUAUUACUCCCAAGGGAAUGCAGAGAAGAAACAAAGAUUGAUGGAUACACUAUUCCUAUCAAAACCAAAGUCCUAGUUAAUGCAUGGGCAAUUGGAAGAGAUCCUAAGUACUGGCAUAAUCCAGAAAGUUUUAUACCUGAGAGAUUUGAGAAUAGUACUAGCUAUUGACUUUGAAUUAUUCCAUUUGGCGCAGGAAGAAGAAUAUAUAUGUGCAGGAAUGUUAUUUGGUUUAGCUAAUGCCGGGUAUCCUUUA